rnacentral:misc_RNA from 1 species
GUAAGUAAAAGUCGUAACAAGGUUUCCGUAGGUGAACCUGCGGAAGGAUCAUUACUGAGUGAGGGCCCCUCGGGGUCCAACCUCCCACCCGUGUUUAACGAACCUUGUUGCUUCGGCGGGCCCGCCUCACGGCCGCCGGGGGGCAUCUGCCCCCGGGCCCGCGCCCGCCGAAGCCACCUGUGAACGCUGUCUGAAGUAUGCAGUCUGAGACAAUUAUUAAAUUAAUUAAAACUUUCAACAACGGAUCUCUUGGUUCCG